rnacentral:rRNA from 1 species
UACGAAGGGGGCUAGCGUUGCUCGGAAUCACUGGGCGUAAAGGGUGCGUAGGCGGGUUUUAAGUCAGAGGUGAAAUCCUGGAGCUCAACUCCAGAACUGCCUUUGAUACUGAAAGUCUUGAGUAUGGGAGAGGUGAGUGGAACUGCGAGUGUAGAGGUGAAAUUCGUAGAUAUUGGGAAGAACACCGAUGGCGAAGGCAGCCAUCUGGACCGACACUGACGCUGAGGCGCGAAAGCGUGGGGAGCAAACAGG